rnacentral:rRNA from 1 species
AUUGAACGCUGGCGGCAGGCCUAACACAUGCAAGUCGAGCGAGCGGCGGACGGGUGAGAAAUGUCUGGGAAACUGCCUGCUGGAGGGGGAUAACUACUGGAAACGGUAGCUAAUAUCCCACACCAUCAGAUGUGUCCAGAUGGGAUUUGCUAGUAGGUGGGGGAACGUCUCACCUCGGCGACGAUCCCUAGCUGGUCUGAGAGGAUGACCAGCCACACUGGAACGGAGACACGGUCCAGACUCCUACGGGAGGCAGCAGUGGGGAAUAUUGCACAAUGGGCGCAAGCCUGAUGCAGCCAUGCCGCGUGUAUGAAGAAGGCCUUCGGGUUGUAAAGUACUUUCAGCGGGGAGGCGUUACCCGCAGAAGAAGCACCGGCUAACUCCGUGCCAGCAGCCGCGGUAAUUC